UACGGAGGGUGCAAGCGUUGCUCGGAAUUAUUGGGCGUAAAGGGUAGGUAGGUGGGCUUAUUUGUCUGGGGUGAAAGCCUUGGGCUUAACUCAAGAAGUGCCCCAGAAACGGUAAGACUAGAGUCCUGGAGAGGGUCGUGGAAUUCCCGGUGUAGCGGUGAAAUGCGUAGAGAUCGGGAGGAACACCAGAGGCGAAGGCGGCGACCUGGACAGGCACUGACACUCAACUACGAAAGCGUGGGGAGCAAACAGG
rnacentral:rRNA from 1 species